GCGUUAGUAGUGUGACGGUUCUGCACGCGCUCCCGGAAAUAGUGAGAUCUGGGUUCGAAUCUCGGCUGACGCA